rnacentral:rRNA from 1 species
UACAGAGGGUGCGAGCGUUGUCCGGAAUCACUGGGCGUAAAGGGCGCGUAGGUGGUGGCUUAAGCGUGCGGUGAAAGCUCGGGGCUCAACUCCGAGUCGGCCGUGCGAACUGGGCUCACUGGAGCAUAGUAGAGGCAGGUGGAAUUCCGGGUGUAGCGGUGGAAUGCGUAGAGAUCCGGAAGAACACCAGUGGCGAAGGCGGCUCACUGGCCCGGUACUGACGCUGAGGUGCGAAAGCGUGGGGAGCAAACAGG